GACGAACGCUGGCGGCGUGCUUAACACAUGCAAGUCGAACGGGCCUGUCUUCUUUUUUGGGGGGUGGGUUGAGUGGCGAACGGGUGAGUAUCACGUGAGUAACCUACCCUUCGGUCCUGGAUAACCGCUUGAAAGGGCGGCUAAUACGGGGUGGUCCGGUUGGUCCGCAUGGGCUGGUCGGGAUAGAUUCACUGUUUUUGGUGUUUCGGCGGGGGAUGGGCUCGCGGCCUAUCAGCUUGUUGGGGGGGUGAUGGCCUACCAAGGCGGUGACGGGUAGCCGGCCUGAGAGGGUGGGCGGCCACACUGGGACUGAGAUACGGCCCAGACUCCUGCGGGAGGCAGCAGUGGGGGGUAUUGCACAAUGGGCGGAAGCCUGAUGCAGCGACGUCGCGUGAGGGAUGGAGGCCUUCGGGUUGUGAACCUCUGUUUCCGGUGGUGAAGGCCCUGUCCGUGUGGUGGGGUUGACGGUAGCCGGGGAUGAAGCGCCGGCUAACUACGUG
rnacentral:rRNA from 1 species